CAGGUAAUAGUUUUAAUAAAAACACUGUCUUUGGGAGACAGAGACCAGGAUAAACUAACCCUGUUACCUGA
rnacentral:tRNA from 1 species